ACUGAGCGGCGGACGGGUGAGUAACGCGUGGGCAACCUGCCUUACACAGGGGGAUAACAGUUAGAAAUGACUGCUAAUACCGCAUAAGACCACAGGACUGCAUGGUCCGGUGGUAAAAACUCCGGUGGUGUAAGAUGGGCCCGCGUCUGAUUAGGUAGUUGGCGGGGUAACGGCCCACCAAGCCGACGAUCAGUAGCCGACCUGAGAGGGUGACCGGCCACAUUGGGACUGAGACACGGCCCAGACUCCUACGGAAGGCAGCAG
rnacentral:rRNA from 1 species